rnacentral:rRNA from 1 species
UACGUAGGGGGCUAGCGUUGUCCGGAAUCAUUGGGCGUAAAGAGCUCGUAGGUGGUUCGGUAAGUCGGAUGUGAAAUCUCCAGGCUCAACCUGGAGGGGUCAUUCGAUACUGCCGUGACUAGAGUUCGGUAGGGGAGUGUGGAAUUCCUGGUGGAGCGGUGAAAUGCGCAGAUAUCAGGAGGAACACCCGUAGCGAAGGCGGCACUCUGGGCCGAUACUGACACUGAGGAGCGAAAGCGUGGGGAGCGAACAGG